rnacentral:tRNA from 1 species
GGGCUUGUAGCUCAGAUGGGAGAGCGGUGCGUUCGCAACGCACAGGUCAUGGGUUCGAGUCCCACCAGGUCCA